GUGAACGCUGGCGGUAGGCCUAACCCAUGCAAGUCGCACGGCAGCACAGUAAGAGCUUGCUCUUACGGGUGGCGAGUGGCGGACGGGUGAGGAAUACAUCGGAAUCUACUUUUUCGUGGGGGAUAACGUAGGGAAACUUACGCUAAUACCGCAUACGACCUACGGGUGAAAGCAGGGGAUCUUCGGACCUUGCGCGAUUGAAUGAGCCGAUGUCGGAUUAGCUAGUUGGCGGGGUAAAGGCCCACCAAGGCGACGAUCCGUAGCUGGUCUGAGAGGAUGAUCAGCCACACUGGAACUGAGACACGGUCCAGACUCCUGCGGGAGGCAGCAGUGGGGAAUAUUGGACAAUGGGCGCAAGCCUGAUCCAGCCAUACCGCGUGGGUGAAGAAGGCCUUCGGGUUGUAAAGCCCUUUUGUUGGGAAAGAAAAGCAGCAGGUUAAUACCCCGCUGUUCUGACGGUACCCAAAGAAUAAGCACCGGCUAACUUCGUG
rnacentral:rRNA from 1 species